AGAAACACCAGGAGCCCCUGAAAAUGUUUUGUGAGGAUGAUGAAAUCCCUAUCUGUGUGGUGUGUGACAGAUCCAAGGAGCACCGAGAUCAUGAAGUGAUUCCUCAGGAGGAAGCUUACCAAAAGUACAUGGAUUUGCUUUGUAUUCACUUGGAGGAUCUGAAGAAGGAGAUAAAUGACAUUUGGGCAAAUAAAGGAGCAACAGAAAGAGAGAGCCAAGAUUUACUU